rnacentral:rRNA from 1 species
UACGUAGGGUGCGAGCGUUAAUCGGAAUUACUGGGCGUAAAGCGUGCGCAGGCGGUUUUGUAAGUCAGAUGUGAAAUCCCCGGGCUCAACCUGGGAAUUGCAUUCGAGACUGCAUAGCUAGGGUGCGGAAGAGGGAAGCGGAAUUUCCGGUGUAGCGGUGAAAUGCGUAGAUAUCGGAAGGAACACCAGUGGCGAAAGCGGCUUCCUGGUCCAGCACCGACGUUCAGGCACGAAAGCGUGGGGAGCAAACAGG